rnacentral:lncRNA from 10 species
UGCAAACAAAUGAGAUUAGCAAACUGAAACUCUCUAAUGAACUUAAGUCAUGCCAAGAUCUGUAGACAUCUUUUCUAGAAGACAAUGUAUACAUAUUAUACAUAUUUUGUAAUUCAUUCAUACAUGUUUUGCAAGUAUCACAUAUUCUGUGAGAAAUCUCUCUAGAAAUUGCACUUGCAUACUGUUUUAAUACUCCAAUUCAGAAUUCGAUGGAGACUUCCCCAUGAAUGUGCUAUGAGUGAGGUAACAGUUAUGGCUGGAUAUCCAUCACUGAUCAUUUUUUACCUGGGGAAGAUAAUAAAACCAGUUGUCUUACUGUGUCCAAUGACCUUGCCUACAGCUUACGGACAGAUCUUUCUUGUCAUCCCUCUGAAGGAAACCAAAGUGUUUCUCCCCAAAAUAUACAUCUUUGACAUAUUUCAAGAUGGCUAUUCAGAAGGGCUGGAAAUACAAGAAUAGCUGAAAAGCUGUCUUCUGUGGGGGAGAUUUGCAUCUUUAGAGAAAAUAUGCAUUGAUACAGCCAAGCUUUCUCUAAAGCCUUCUCUUGUCCAAAUUUAGGGAAGAUUAACUGGGAGUCUGGCACCUAAAGGUCUGAAAGAAAUACUCACCAUCUAGUCUUUCUGAGGGCUGCUACCUGUGAGGUUUUAUCUGCAUAACAAGAACACCUUUGCUAACCAGGCCUCUUCUCUCCCUAUCAUAACCAGUUUUACCAGGAUCCAAGCCCCUAUUCUUUCUGUAACCUCAGGAUGGUGUCAGUGUCAACCAUCUUCUUUUUCUCUGUGAUCUUAUAGUUUGUAAGACUCUGUGCACGUUAAUAAAUUUACAUGCUUUUUUUCCUAUUAAUCUGCCUUUUCUCAAUUGCUUUUUCAGUGAAACUUUAGAGGAUGAAGGGGAAGUUCUCUCUUGUUCCUCAUACCUCAAGAAAGGAGAAAUUCAGGCAGGGUCAGCAAUACUCAGAUGUUUAAGAAGGCUGAAACCAGUGUUGAAAAUGGCAGAAUGGAUAGACAAAGAGGUGGUAGAAAAAUGCUUUGACUAAACCAGCUAUAAAAGCCAGGAAUGAAUUUGACAUUUUAUCCGCUCAAUACUUGCAUGUACCUUUAAACACAGAGAUCAUAUUCAAUUAGCAGUUCCUCAAAUGAUUAAACAUAGAGUUACCAUAUGACAUAAAAAUACACAUCAACGCAAAAACUUGUACACAAGUGGUCGCAGAAGCAUUAUUCACAGUACACAAAAAAAAUAAUAAUAAGAAGAAGAAAACAACCCAAAUGUCUAUCAUCUGAUGAAUGGAUAAGCAAAAUGUGGUCUAGUCAUCCAAUGGACAAUUAUUCAACCAUAAAACAGGGUGAAAUUCUGAUACGUGCUACAACACGGACGAACCUAGAAAAUAUGCUAAGAGAAAGAAGCCAGACACAAAAGGACACAUAUUGUGUGAUUCCAUUUAUAUGAAAUGCUCAGAAUAGGGAAAUCCAUGGAGACAAAAAGUAUUAAUAGAUUAGUGGUUGCCUGGAGCUGGGGGUAAUGGGGGAAGUGGUGAGUGAGAGCUAAGUAAUUUGGGGUUUCUUUCUGGGGUAAUAAAAUAUUUUAAAAUGGAUUGGGGUGGUGGUUGCACAACUUUUACAAAUAUACCAUUGAACUGUACACUUUAAUUGGGUGAAUUAUAUGGCAUGUGAAUUAUAUCUCAAUAAAGCUGUUUCUAAAAAAAAAAAAAACCCCAUCCACAUACAGGUUUUUGUAGAAACAUAAGUUUUCAAAUACACCGAGACAAAAACAAUCUCCUCCUCUCUUCCUUCUUCCUCCACCUUGGGUACAUGUUGUCAGGACCUCCUGAGGCUGUGUCACAGAUGCACGCGUCCUCAAUGUUGGCAAAAUAAAAUUUCUAAAUUAACUGAGAGCGUCUCAGAUAUUCAGGGUCCAUACCUCCUGCCAGGCCUAAAAUGCUCACCUGAUUAUGGAGGCUGGCAAGUCAAAAAUCUGCAGAGUCGAUAUGCCAGUUUGAGUCUGAAGGUCAGCAGGGUGCUGCAGAACAAG